GUUUUAAUAGUUUAAUAAUAAAACAAUGGUCUUGUAAACCAUAAAUAAGAUUUCAUCUUUUAAGACU
rnacentral:tRNA from 1 species